rnacentral:rRNA from 1 species
GACGAACGCUGGCGGCGUGCUUAACACAUGCAAGUCGAACGGGCCCGCCCCUGUUUUUGGGGGUGGGUUGAGUGGCGAACGGGUGAGUAUCACGUGAGUAACCUGCCCCCUGCUCCUGGAUAACUGCUUGAAAGGGCGGCUAAUACGGGGUGUGCCGGCUGGUCCGCAUGGGCCUGGUCGGGAUAGUUUCAUCUUCGGGUGUUUCGGUGGGGGAUGGGCUCGCGGCCUAUCAGCUUGUUGGUGGGGUGAUGGCCCACCAAGGCGGUGACGGGUAGCCGGCCUGAGAGGGUGGGCGGCCACACUGGGACUGAGACACGGCCCAGACUCCUGCGGGAGGCAGCAGUGGGGGGUAUUGCACAAUGGGCGGAAGCCUGAUGCAGCGACGUCGCGUGAGGGAUGGAGGCCGUCGGGUGGUGAACCUCUUUCUCCGGUGGUGAAGGCCCUGUCCGUUGCGGCGGGGUUGACGGUAGCCGGGUAUGAAGCGCCGGCUAACUACGUG